rnacentral:rRNA from 1 species
GACGAACGCUGGCGGCGUGCCUAAUACAUGCAAGUCGAGCGGACGGAUGGGAGCUUGCUCCCAGACCGUCAGCGGCGGACGGGUGGGUAACACGUGGGCAACCUGCCUGUAAGACUGGGAUAACUCCGGGAAACCGGGGCUAAUACCGGAUAACUCUUUCCCUCCCAUGAGGGAAAGCUGAAAGAUGGCAUCUCGCUAUCACUUACAGAUGGGCCCGCGGUGCAUUAGCUAGUUGGUGAGGUAACGGCUCACCAAGGCGACGAUGCGUAGCCGACCUGAGAGGGUGAUCGGCAACACUGGAACUGAAACACGGACCAGACUCCUACGGGAGGCAGCAGUAGGGAAUCUUACGCAAUGGACGAAAGUCUGACGGAGCAACGCCGCGUGAGUGAUGAAGGUUUUCGGAUCGUAAAACUCUGUUGUCAGGGAAGAACAAGUACCGGAGUAACUGCCGGUACCUUGACGGUACCUGACCAGAAAGCCACGGCUAACUACGUG